AGCAGCCGCCGCGGUAACACGUAGGGUGCGAGCGUUAAUCGGAAUUACUGGGCGUAAAGCGUGCGCAGGCGGUUGUGUAAGACAGGUGUGAAAUCCCCGGGCUUAACCUGGGAACUGCGCUUGUGACUGCACAGCUAGAGUAUGGCAGAGGGGGGUGGAAUUCCACGUGUAGCAGUGAAAUGCGUAGAGAUGUGGAGGAACACCGAUGGCGAAGGCAGCCCCCUGGGCCAAUACUGACGCUCAUGCACGAAAGCGUGGGGAGCAAACAGGAUUAGAUACCCCGGUAGUCCUGUCUCUUAUACA
rnacentral:rRNA from 1 species